GGAGAGUUGUCCGAGUGGUUUAAGGUGCGGCUCUCGAAAAGCCGUGUGCCGAAAGGCACCGUGGGUUCGAAUCCCAUGCUCUCCG
rnacentral:tRNA from 1 species